rnacentral:lncRNA from 1 species
CGGGAGGAGGAUGUAGAACGGAUUUGGUGUGAUGUGGUUUGAGCUGGGAGUGGCUGUUUUUAAAUAGCGGAUGACGGCGAGGCCAAGCUUCCUGGUAUGUCAAUGCAAGGGUGUGAGAGUUGGUUUCUCGACCGACUUGUGCCUAUUUAAUGGUGACAGAUACGCAUUGAACACGGGGCUUAGAUAUACAUUUUGUUCCGUCCAGUAACGUCUGUCUUUCCGUCACUGAACGUGCACGAACACAGGGGAUGCGGUGUGGGCGGGGCCCUAGGCUGUUAAAUUUACUUUUGUUUUUUUAGAAAAAAAGGUAUUUAAUUAUAAAAGUACAUCUAGGUCUCCCUAGUGGGCUUUGGUGAUCAAUAGCGAACCAACCAAGAUACUGAGUGAACGUUCUCAGUAGGCCUUCAUGCAAUAAUGG